GAGAAUUCUGGGUAAAUCAGUUUUCCCACAUUCCCUCACUCUGUUCUUUUGUCAGCCUCUCCUGGCUGUUGCAGUUUCUUAAGUGACUAAAUCAGAUGCUCCCAUAUCUUUAAGAGCUGCUUCAUCAGCUCCAGUCAGUGUGGCUUGUUGGGCGCAGUAAUAAACCGCAGUGUCCUCUGUCCUCAGACUCUUGGCCUCUGUGUGCUUGCUGGGACGUCUUCUGUAAAGAUGUGCGUUUUGGGCUGAUUUGAGUUUGUAGAACUUCUGUCACUGAUACCAACAAACACUUUACACAGCUCCGAUUCAACAACCUGCAGAAAAGCUUUGGAAUGGAGGUGUUUCUAAAGGUGGAUUAAAUGUAUUUUCACCUCAAGACAAAGGUCAAAGAUGAAAUGUUACAGUGAUGUUCUUAUAUCUUUGAAAUACAGAGAGGACUAAGUGCUGCUAGUUUAUGUAUAGCAGGCAUCCCUGGGGACAAGUGUACUGCAGAGAGAUGAAAAUGAACAUGGAUGUUUUUGUACAGGGCUGCAGGGAGUUUGUAGUGCUGUGUCUCUUGCGCAGUAAUAUACAGCCGUGUCCUCAGGCUGAAAGUUCUGUCCUCUUAAAUAAACUGUACUGAUGGAUGUGUCCUGGGUGAAACUGA